GACGAACGCUGGCGGCGUGCUUAACACAUGCAAGUCGAGCGGUAAGGCCCCUUCGGGGGUACACGAGCGGCGAACGGGUGAGUAGCACGUGAGCAAUCUGCCCUUCACACGGGGAUAACCACCGGAAACGGUGGCUAAUACCCGAUACGACCACUUCAGGCAUCUGAUGGUGGUGGAAAGUUCCGGCGGUGGAGGAUGAGCUCGCGGCCUAUCAGCUUGUUGGUGGGGUAAUGGCCUACCAAGGCAACGACGGGUAGCCGGCCUGAGAGGGUGACCGGCCACACUGGGACUGAGACACGGCCCAGACUCCUACGGGAGGCAGCAGUGGGGAAUAUUGGACAAUGGGCGAAAGCCUGAUCCAGCAACGCCGCGUGAGGGAUGACGGCCUUCGGGUUGUAAACCUCUUUCAGCAGGGACGAAGCGCAAGUGACGGUACCUGCAGAAGAAGCACCGGCCAACUACGUGCCAGCCGCCGCGGUAAUAC
rnacentral:rRNA from 1 species